CCUACGGGAGGCAGCAGUGAGGAAUAUUGGUCAAUGGACGAGAGUCUGAACCAGCCAAGUAGCGUGAAGGAUGACUGCCCUAUGGGUUGUAAACUUCUUUUAUAUGGGAAUAAAACAGGGUAUGCAUACCCUCUUGUAUGUACCAUAUGAAUAAGGAUCGGCUAACUCCGUGCCAGCAGCCGCGGUAAUACGGAGGAUCCGAGCGUUAUCAGGAUUUAUUGGGUUUAAAGGGAGCGUAGGUGGAUUGUUAAGUCAGUUGUGAAAGUUUGCGGCUCAACCGUAAAAUUGCAGUUGAAACUGGCAGUCGUGAGUACAGUAGAGGUGGGCGGAAUUCGUGGUGUAGCGGUGAAAUGCUUAGAUAUCACGAAGAACUCCGAUUGCGAAGGCAGCUCACUGGACUACAACUGACACUGAUGCUCGAAAGUGUGGGUAUCAAACAGGAUUAGAUACCCCAGUAGUC
rnacentral:rRNA from 1 species